CUUUUUCAUUGCUAGUUUGAGAGUUACUGCAUAUUGCCUCAUUUAAUAGAAGAAAGUCAUAUAAUUUGUCUAUCAUCUUCUUUGUUGUCUUUGCCCCUAGUUGGAAAUUGAUAGUUCUCUUGUAUUACAAUAGGGAAAUUAUGCAGAAGCGAUAGCCUGUAAAUUUGAUUGGAUUAUAGUUUUAUAUUGAUUGGAUUAUAGUUUUAAAUUUGAUGGAAUGCUUGCCUUUAUGCACAGAGACUAUGCUUUGCAUCGGAAGUGAAUGGCAUCGUUAUCCUUCUUCAUUUUUUAUGCCUUCGUACAUUAAGGAAGUUCAAUGGAUAAAUGAAGGAUUUAGGGGUCUUCUCCCAUAUCCUUUUAAUUCAAGUUUGGGAGGCAUGACAACUACCCCACCUUAUUUCAAUGACAAGAACAAGGCUUCAAGAUAUCAAACUCUACACCUUCUAUAUGGAGCUAGAUUUGCAAAAGCCAUAUCCAACUCGAGGAAGUGACUUAUUGACAUGGGAGAGAACUUAUUGGUAACCAAGGACUUUGUGAAGAUAGCAAAUUUUGGCCUUGCUCGUGAAGUUCAUUCGAAGCCACCAUUCACAGAAUAGGUUUCAACACGCUGUUUACAAAUCUCAAGUACUCCAGAGUUGAAAUUGAUGAAAUGCAGUUCGAGUGGGCUGA